UCUAAUCUGCCCACUGAUGAAAUAUUAAAGGGCUGCAGUAUAUUGACUGUACAAAGGUAGCAUAAUCAAUAGUCUCUUAAUUGGUGACUUGUAUGAAAGAUUGGAUGAGAUAUAAACUGUCUUAAUAAUAAUUAAAGAAAUUAAUUUUUUAUUUAAAAAGUUAAAAUAAAUUUAAAAGACGAGAAGACCCUAUAGAGUUUUAUAAAAUUUUUUAUUAAAAUUAUAUAUAAAAAUAAUAAUUAAAAUAAAAAUUUUUAUUUUGUUGGGGUGAUAAAAAAAUAUAAAUAACUUUUUUUUAAUAAAAACAUAAAUAAAUGAAUAAUUGAUCCAAAAUUAUUUUGAUUAAAAGAAAAAAUUACCUUAGGGAUAACAGCGUAAUUUUUUUUUUUAGUUCAAAUAAAAAAAAAAGUUUGCGACCUCGAUGUUGGAUUAAGAUAAAAUUUAUAUGCAAAAGUUUAAAAUUUUGAUCUGUUCGAUCAUUAAAAUCUUACAUGAUCUGAGUUCAACCGGA
rnacentral:rRNA from 1 species